CAUGGUUUCUUCCUUUUCGUGUGUGUUUUAUUGUUCUCAUGUAAUACGCCUUGAUUUGCCUGCUUAUGGAUUCGUCUAACGUAAUCAGGAAAUUCACGAAAGCGUUAAUAUACGAAUCCGCUCACGUAAAAUCAUUUUAACAAAUCAUGUCCGGCCGAGCCGAAAAUUGUUCCAUCCGAAAAGCAUCUCGUAUCAGAUCCGCAUCACUCAGGACUACAACUUCUGCUGACCCUAGCGACAUUCUAAACAUGUUUCCAUAUUUUUUUGCCAUCGAAGCGAACUUUAGAUGCAGACUGCUCUGGUAGCGUGCUAAAGACAGUGCUGACCCAACACAUGGUAGACCGCGAGGUCCAGAUUCCACAAGAAGAGCAAGGAAGAAUGAAUGAUGGUACAUGAUUUGACCUUUGGUCAAAGUUGUCCAGAAUGCCGGCUGAAUGCUACAUGUGCUUAUCCGCUGCCAGGUGGAAAGACAACCGGACGCGUUAUUCCCCAAAACGGAUGGAUAUGGGCAAGGGCUUAUACUGCGAUCGCAUACGGUUAGGACAGUUUGGGCUAAGAAAACCCCUUCCGUUCGCUGAAUACGGCAACUGUCGAAACCUUUCUGCAACCGCAGCGUAAUUGGGAUGUUACAGCAGCCGACUGCAAGUGAUCAUAACAAAAACCGAAUGAAGACAUUUAUACUGACCGCCUAGAAGACCAUAUUAGCAGGUGUGUCAGCUGGGCAGCCAAUCGAACUCGAACUCUUGCAGGAUGUACACAGUACACCUAUAGCAGCCGCACAUUGCCAACAGUAAAAUAGACAAAUUUGCUAUAUUUGAGGUGAAAUUAUUAGCCACUGACAGUAAUUCACUGCAACAUACCGUAUUACAUGUCGCUAUACCAUCCAAUUAAUUUUGAUGGUGUCGCCCAGCGUAUAGUGGCACAGAUAUUACGCGCAGAACGUUGUGGCUAAUUAGUGCGGUUGUACUUAUUCUAUUGCGGCUGUGCCGUAAUCAAAGCAGUUUAGAUGUUACAUGGCUUCCGACAUAUACGCGAAGUCCAUUGCUGGUUGUUUUCACACAUAUCUUGUCCAUUAAGCCGCAGCAUUUCCAAUUUGUCAUUAUCACUCACUGUUGGUGUCGAUCAUAAAACAAUACGGGCCCGAAAAAAGUUUAUUCGGUAACAUCUAUGGCCCUUCCGUCCUGCGUACUUACGUGCAAGUUUGCAACUGCAAUCUGCGGCUGCGUGUCAUGGUGUGUAAUGCUGUCUGAAUUAUAGUUCCAUAUCUACUUUGUUAUUUAAAAUACGAGUAUUACACUUGAUGUCAUUGCUUGGUGGUUUAA